GUCCAGCUCAACUGGUAGAGCAAGGCAUUAACGCUGCCAGGGUUAGUGGUUCAAGCCCAUUAAAAAGACUCUGGACU